rnacentral:rRNA from 1 species
GUUGUAUAGUUAAGUGACUAAGCGUACACGGUGGAUGCCUUGGCAAUCAGAGGCGAAGAAGGACGUGCUAAUCUGCGAUAAGCUUGGAUGAGUUGAUAAGAAGCGUUUAAUCCAAGAUUUCCGAAUGGGGAAACCCACUAGAUGAAGAAUCUAGUAUUUACUACUGAAUACAUAGGUAGUAAAGGCAAACCGGGAGAACUGAAACAUCUAAGUACCCCGAGGAAAAGAAAUCAACCGAGAUUCUGUAAGUAGCGGCGAGCGAAAGCGGAAGAGCCUGUUAGUGAUAGCAGUAGACACAGAAGAACGAGCUGGGAAGCUCGACUAUAAAGGGUGAUAGUCCCGUAUUCGAAGUGUCUAUUGUGGUACUAAGCUAACGACAAGUAGGGCGGGACACGAGAAAUCCUGUUUGAAGAUGGGGGGACCAUCCUCCAAGGCUAAAUACUCCUGAUUGACCGAUAGUGAACCAGUACUGUGAAGGAAAGGCGAAAAGAACCCCAGUGAGGGGAGUGAAAUAGAACCUGAAACCGUGUACGUACAAGCAGUGGGAGCCUCUUUGUGGGGUGACUGCGUACCUUUUGUAUAAUGG